AGACCAGGACAGAGAGAGCAUUUGAUUCGAAAUGGCUCGUGCGGUGUCAAUAAAAUCAGCAAUCUUCGUGGCCAUGAUCCUAGAGGCCGUGUUUAUCGGAUUCAGCAGACCAGACUCCACGCCAAGCUCGACUGAAUCCUCCGAAUUAAACUUUACCGUGGAGACCUGUAAUGAAACGUGCAAUCCUUCUCAAAAUCUAACGUGCUCAAGUACAGACUGCUUUUGCGGACUUAAGAACAAUGAGACCGUAGGGAUAUGCUACAGCUGGUCAUUUUCAGGAAUGGAUUACGGAGAGAUGCCUUCAUCCGACGAGAUAACGGAGGCCGCGCCAAUAUAUUACAAUGCUACUAAAUAAAGUACUUUUGUCAUUCACGACA